rnacentral:rRNA from 1 species
UACGGGGGGAGCAAGCGUUGUUCGGAUUUACUGGGCGUAAAGGGCGCGUAGGCGGCCAGCACAAGUCAGUUGUGAAAUCUCCGAGCUUAACUCGGAAAGGUCAACUGAUACUGUGCGGCUAGAGUGCGGAAGGGGCAACUGGAAUUCUUGGUGUAGCGGUGAAAUGCGUAGAUAUCAAGAGGAACACCUGCGGCGAAGGCGGUUCUCUGGGACGGUACUGACGCUGAGACGCGAAAGCGUGGGGAGCGAACAGG